rnacentral:misc_RNA from 1 species
UCGAGAACCGAUCGAGAGACCACGAACCUGUAAACGGACCACCGUGUCGGGCGGGCAUUAUGCCCGUCCUACUCGGGACCUCGCAUCGUGUCCGCGAUUGCCUUCGAGCAUUUCGGGCACGAUUUGCGGGGGACGAACGAAACCCCGGCGCGGCCUGCGCCAAGGAACAUAUGUCAGGACGGACGUGUGUCAACGCCUUUGUGGCGGGGCGACGUCCGCUCUCUAUC